rnacentral:rRNA from 1 species
CCUACGGGAGGCAGCAGUGAGGAAUAUUGGUCAAUGGGCGUAAGCCUGAACCAGCCAAGUCGCGUGAGGGAUGAAGGUUCUAUGGAUCGUAAACCUCUUUUAUAAGGGAAUAAAGUGUGGGACGUGUCCUAUUUUGUAUGUACCUUAUGAAUACAGAUCGGCUAACUCCGUGCCAGCAGCCGCGGUAAUACGGAGGGUCCGAGCGUUAUCCGGAUUUAUUGGGUUUAAAGGGUGCGUAGACGGCCUUUUAAGUCAGCGGUGAAAGUCUAUGGCUCAACCAUAGAAUUGCCUUUGAAACUGGGGAGCUUGAGUAUGUGUGAGGUAGGCGGAAUUCGUGGUGUAGCGGUGAAAUGCUUAGAUAUCACGCAGAACCCCGAUGGCGAAGGCAGCUUGCUAAGCUAUAACUGACGCUGAUGCACGAAAGCGUGGGGAGCAAACAGGAUUAGAUACCCUAGUAGUC